rnacentral:sRNA from 1 species
UCUUUCUGCCGUGUGACUGGCGUUUCCUCCCUAAACUCGGGCCGUACCCCAUGGGUGCGGCCCUUUUUUUCGUCUAC